CUCGUGGAGAGGGGAUCCCUCAGCCCGGAUUGCGAGAGGGUGCAGGCCAGGCCGAGGGACCCCACCGGUGCACG
rnacentral:pre_miRNA from 1 species